rnacentral:rRNA from 1 species
GACGAACGCUGGCGGCGUGCUUAACACAUGCAAGUCGAACGGAAAGGCCCUGCUUUUGUGGGGUACUCGAGUGGCGAACGGGUGAGUAACACGUGAGUAACCUGCCCUUGACUUUGGGAUAACUUCAGGAAACUGGGGCUAAUACCGGAUAGGAGCUCCUGCUGCAUGGUGGGGGUUGGAAAGUUUCGGCGGUUGUGGAUGGACUCGCGGCUUAUCAGCUUGUUGGUGGGGUAGUGGCUUACCAAGGCUUUGACGGGUAGCCGGCCUGAGAGGGUGACCGGCCACAUUGGGACUGAGAUACGGCCCAGACUCCUACGGGAGGCAGCAGUGGGGAAUAUUGCACAAUGGGCGGAAGCCUGAGGCAGCAACGUCGCGUGCGGGAUGACGGCCUUCGGGUUGUAAACCGCUUUCGCCGGUGACGAAGCGUGAGUGACGGUAAUGGGUAAAGAAGCACCGGCUAACUACGUG